UGUCGAAGCAAGUGCGCAUUCAUAACCUUACGCCUAACACCUCACGCGCAGCAUGGUAAGACGCGCCGGUCCCUCUUCAACGACGAGGUUCUGCGUUUGAAAUGGUCACAGCAGGGUGUGCGAGUCAAUAAAUUCCGUAAAUUUAUCGCCACAGCACAUAAUGUAGCGGCAGUUCCAAGCUACAAAGCGACUGUAUACUACAAAGUUGGUGUGAAAAAAUAAAUUUCGAGUGGUAUA